rnacentral:rRNA from 1 species
GAUGAACGCUGGCGGCGUGCCUAAUACAUGCGAGUCGAGCGAACAGACGAGGAGCUUGCUCCUCUGAAGUUAGCGGCGGACGGGUGAGUAACACGUGAAUAACCUACCUAUAAGACUGGGAUAACUUAGGGAAACCGGAGCUAAUACCGGAUAAUAUAUUGAACCGCAUGGUUCAAUAGAGAAAGAUGGUUUUGCUGUCACUUAUAGAUGGAUCCGCGCCGCAUUAGCUAGUUGGUAAGGUAACGGCUUACCAAGGCAACGAUGCGUAGCCGACCUGAGAGGGUGAUCGGCCACACUGGAACUGAGACACGGUCCAGACUCCUACGGGAGGCAGCAGUAGGGAAUCUUCCGCAAUAGGCGAAAGCCUGACGGAGCAACGCCGCGUGAGUGAUGAAGGUCUUCGGAUCGUAAAACUCUGUUAUUAGGGAAGAACAAAUGUGUAAGUAACUAUGCACGUCUUGACGGUACCUAAUCAGAAAGCCAUGGCUAACUACGUG